UACGGAGGGUGCAAGCGUUAAUCGGAAUUACUUGGGUCGGUAAAGCGUGCGGUAGGCGGUUCGUUAAGUCUGCUGAUGAAAGCCCCGGGCUCAACCUGGGAAUGGCAGUGGAUACUGGCGAGCUAGAGUGUGAUAGAGGAUGGUGGAAUUCCCGGUGUAGCGGUGAAAUGCGUAGAGAUCGGGAGGAACAUCAGUGGCGAAGGCGGCCAUCUGGAUCAACACUGACGCUGAGGCACGAAAGCGUGGGGAUCAAACAGG
rnacentral:rRNA from 1 species